AAUACAAUGUAACCCGGAUCAGGGUACAGGCGCAUAGUUACAUGGGAGCGGAAAGUAACGUUGAAUCCUGUUUGCGCCUCAGUGUGGAAGGAUCAGUGAAGCGGUGAAGACGAACUCGGCCGACUGCCCUGCUCCGGAGGAGUACACGUAUCCCUUGUUGGACAGAAGAAGAGCUGAUUCAACAUUCUCCGUGUGUACUUGUCUCCUCAAACCCUGAACAUGUCCCCCGCAGCUGUGUUAUUCGCCAUUCUGGCUCUCUCCGGGAUGACCGCUGACGGACAAGACAGGCACCAUGUCCCCUGCUGGCGACAAACUCAGUGUGAUUCGUGCCAGCGUACCAGCUCACUGAACGGAGUGACGGUCUGCUGCCAGCAAUGUGCUGAUGCACCCGUGUACCCGCUGGGCGCCAACAACUGCACGUGUCUCAUGGUGCCCGUUCUUACACCCCGGAGUGGCGCCUGCAUGCACCUGGUCAGCGUGUCCCUCCUGGGCCUCCAUACAGUCGUCUGGGGUCUGUUUGGUCAGACACUGUAACACGGAAAUAAAACGAUAAACUAUAUCAAAGGUU